AUGAACGCUGGCGGCGUGCCUAAUACAUGCAAGUCGAGCGAACAGACGAGGAGCUUGCUCCUUUGACGUUAGCGGCGGACGGGUGAGUAACACGUGGGUAACCUACCUAUAAGACUGGGAUAACUUCGGGAAACCGGAGCUAAUACCGGAUAAUAUUUCGAACCGCAUGGUUCGAUAGUGAAAGAUGGCUCUGCUAUCACUUAUAGAUGGACUUGCGCCGUAUUAGCUAGUUGGUAAGGUAACGGCUUACCAAGGCAACGAUACGUAGCCGACCUGAGAGGGUGAUCGGCCACACUGGAACUGAGACACGGUCCAGACUCCUACGGGAGGCAGCAGUAGGGAAUCUUCCGCAAUGGGCGAAAGCCUGACGGAGCAACGCCGCGUGAGUGAUGAAGGUCUUCGGAUCGUAAAACUCUGUUAUUAGGGAAGAACAAACGUGUAAGUAACUGUGCACGUCUUGACGGUACCUAAUCAGAAAGCCACGGCUAACUACGUG
rnacentral:rRNA from 1 species